GAAUGGGCGCAAGCCUGACGGAGCAACGCCGCGUGAGUGAAGACGGCCUUCGGGUUGUAAAGCUCUGUUCUUGGGGAAGAAACAAAUGACGGUACCCAAGCAGAAAGCCCCGGCUAACUACGUGCCAGCAGCCGCGGUAAUACGUAGGGGGCAAGCGUUGUCCGGAUUUAUUGGGCGUAAAGCGCGCGCAGGCGGUGGGUUAAGUUGUGGGUAAAAAGGCAUUGGCUCAACCAAUGUAAGCCUGCAAAACUGGCACACUUGAGUGCAGGAGAGGGGAGUGGAAUUCCCGGUGUAGCGGUGGAAUGCGUAGAUAUCGGGAGGAACACCAGUGGCGAAGGCGACUCUCUGGCCUGUAACUGACGCUGAGGCGCGAAAGCGUGGGGAGCGAACAGGAUUAGAUACCCUGGUAGUCCACGCCGUAAACGAUGAGUGCUAGGUGUUGGGGGCAUCACGUCCUCAGUGCCGAAAGGAAACCCAAUAAGCACUCCGCCUGGGGAGUACGGCCGCAAGGCUG
rnacentral:rRNA from 1 species